rnacentral:piRNA from 1 species
UCAAAAUAAGUGAGACAUUUGGUUGGUAGG